GCACAGAUGUCAUGCGGGGAGAUCAGAUUUCACGAUCCGUGACAUUUUUCAUGGCUGUGAAUUUGGUAGGACCCUAGUCAUGGAGAAGCAGCACUCUCACAGCUUUGCUCCCUCUGCCCAGCCAUGCUCCAAGUUCAGAGAAGCCCAAUCUCAUGGAGCUCAGAGAGGAGAGCUGUGUCGACUCAACUCUGCCUUCAGAUAGAUUUCAUGUCAAAGGAGCAAAAAAAACCAGUGGAUAAAAAGGCCAAGUGAGAGCUGCGAGAUUGUUUAAGCUGCAUCAGGGUUUCCUAGGAACCGAAACCAGUAAAUUCCAGUGAUGUGAACCAAAUUCUAUAGAACUUUGUAAACAGAGUGCCUGUUUGAUAUUUCAAAGGAUCACAGCAUUUUCACUACUCAAUGAUCUUUAUGGAAUUAUUUAUGUAGAAGUAUUCUGCAAGUUGAGAGCCAUGAACCAGUCUUGAGCUUGGAGCGAUGGAAUGAUGGAGGGAAGUGUUACCAUUCUGAACCUGAGACAUGUACAUAUUUGUUCAGUCUGCUCAAGUCUAAGAUAGAAGAAAGAGGGUUUUUAUCCUUCGAAAUGAGGAAAUACUAACAGUAGAAGCCGUUACCCCUGUACUCUGGAGGAACCUCCUUUACAGCUCUUAGAUGAAGCAAUGAGACCACACUGCUGAUUGUAGUAGGUUCUUAUGAGAAGGGUCCCUGAAGAGGGAUGGGGAAACUAUGGGCAAUGAUCUCUAAAAUCCAUCUGUUGGCUGUCAGGGCAGGCAACAUCCAGUUGAAUGGGAUGAGGUGGCUUCCGAAGGUUAUGUUCUCUCUAGACUGGGUUUGAUGCAGCUCUCAAUUAUCUUAUCAAAUCUGCUGACUUGUCAAAGCAGCAGCGUGCAUUGCCAGGGAAGAGGAAGGUUGGUGCCUCGUGUUGUAUGGUGCAUGCCUUUUGGCUCGCUAUUUCAUCUGUCUGGGCCACUAAGAUGGUGUGUGCUGUCUCAGCCGUGGCUGGGCAUGGUAUGGCUUGCAGUAUGAAGGAGAGGUGUAAGUCCCCAGAGAGUACAGGGAGCACUGGAGUCAUUCAGUGAGUGAGGAGUGCUGUCCAUCCUCUUGAUGAACAGCUCUGUGCCCUCAAAGGACAAGUCCUCUAUCAUGGCCAUGGGCUUUAAGAGGGAACAGAGGGAGCAUUACAACUGCCCUGCCCUUUAUGCCCUUAUAUGGGAGCAUGCAGUAGUACCAGACACGUGUGGCCCCACUGGACACUGCUAGUCACAAAGAUCAGGUUGUGUGUCCAGGAAGUGCAUGAGCACCUACAGUGGGAUCCACUCUGACAAACUUGAAGAACUUUGUUAUUUCCAUCACAACGUGUUGCAGAAAAAGUGAAAUAAAACCA